AAUUAUUCAGCCCCCUUAAGUUAAUACUUUGUAGCGCCACCUUUUGCUGCGAUUACAGCUGUAAGUCGCUUGGGGUAUGUCUCUAUCAGUUUUGCACAUCGAGAGACUGACAUUUUUUCCCAUUCCUCCUUGCAAACAGCUUGAGCUCAGUGAGGUUGGAUGGAGAGCAUUUGUGAACAGCAGUUUUCAGUUCUUUCCACAGAUUCUCGAUUGGAUUCAGGUCUGGACUUUGACUUGGCCAUUCUACUUUCGCAAGGCACUGUAUAUAUGCUAUUUACAGAGAGGUCAGAGAGGUCACUCUUCUCAUGGCAGGAUAGGAAAUAUGUACAUUAAUGAUCAGGAUAGACGGAUGGACACUGAUGUUCAUGUCAGUAAUAUAGUUCAGGGUGUCCUAAACUCAGUCCCCCAUCCACCCACCUACGGGUGCACGUUCUGGUUUUUGCCCGAGCACCACACUGCUAAUUCAAAUAGCCAACUCCUCGUCAAGCUGUGAUGAUUUGAAUGAACUGUGUUCGGGCAGAAGAACAGAAAAUGCACGCAGAGGGAGAUCCAGGACCGAGUUUGGGAAACACUGAUUUAUAGUUGGUAAAUCCUCUCUUCUGAUAACUUUAGAUACUGUAGAAAACAACACUUUUAUAACGGUCUGAUAUCUUUUAAUACAGUAGUUUACAUUGACAGUCUGGGCUAAAUGGACCAGGACCAGAGCUAGACUUGGAUCAGCACCAAAGAGCCAUGGAUGUCUGGUGCUGCUGAGAGAGGAGAAACAGUACAACACUAUUUACACAAUACUUAUAGGUUAUUUACACAAUACUUAUAGGUUCUUUAUAUAAUACUUAUAGGUUCUUUAUAGAAUACUUAUAGGUUCUUUAUAGAAUACUUAUAGGUUCUUUAUAGAAUACUUAUAGGUUCUUUAUAGAAUACUUAUAGGUUCUUUAUAGAAUACUUAUAGGUUCUUUAUAGAAUACUUAUAGGUUCUUUAUAGAAUACUUAUAGGUUCUUUAUAGAAUACUUAUAGGUUCUUUAUAGAAUACUUAUAGGUUCUUUAUAUAAUACUUAUAGGUUCUUUAUAGAAUACUUCUAGGUUCUUUAUAGAAUGUUUACAGGUAGCUUUUAGGUUAUUUAUAGAAUACUUAGGUUAUUUAUAGAAUAUUUCUAGGUUAUUUAUAGAAUACUUUAGUUUCAUCUGCAAC